CCUACGGGAGGCAGCAGUGAGGAAUAUUGGUCAAUGGACGCAAGUCUGAACCAGCCAUGCCGCGUGCAGGAAGACGGCUCUAUGAGUUGUAAACUGCUUUUGUACGAGGGUAAACGCAGAUACGCGUAUCUGUCUGAAAGUAUCGUACGAAUAAGGAUCGGCUAACUCCGUGCCAGCAGCCGCGGUAAUACGGAGGAUUCAAGCGUUAUCCGGAUUUAUUGGGUUUAAAGGGUGCGUAGGCGGUCGGAUAAGUUAGAGGUGAAAUCCCGAGGCUCAACUUCGGAAUUGCCUCUGAUACUGGUCGGCUAGAGAGUAGUUGCGGUAGGCGGAAUGUGUGGUGUAGCGGUGAAAUGCUUAGAGAUCAUACAGAACACCGAUUGCGAAGGCAGCUUACCAAACUAUAUCUGACGUUGAGGCACGAAAGCGUGGGUAGCAAACAGGAUUAGAUACCCGAGUAGUC
rnacentral:rRNA from 1 species